CGCCGCCCCGGAGGCUGGAACGGGGCUGUCUGAAGGGAUCCGGGACCUUCCCGGUGCCACAGGGGCUCUGGUGUCCCCUCAGAGCGGGGCUCCACGGCCUGUAGCCUCAGGCAUCCCCGCAGGAGCCGUGUCUGGAGGAGUCUCCAGCUUGGAUCCCAGAACGAGAAGAGUGAGUGCGUGGGGAGCUGAUGGCAAAGACCGGGAAUGGAGAACUUCAGUAAAAGAACGAGUAUGAGGUGGUGCAUGGAGCCAGCGGCUGGAGCCCUGGAGAGGUGGAUUCACAGGCUGCUCACUGGUGUGUGUGAGGAGGAAGAGGAGCUCUGGGGUGUGGGUCUGUUCCCACAAACUGGCAGAUAAAACUUUCUAAGACUCAAUUGAAAGUUCAGAAAGCAGGCAUUCUUUGUUGCAGCACCAGGUGCUCCUCCUGUUGUGCACUGUUGUCUAAUUAAGUUUAUACACAACAGGUAUACAUAUUCAAUGCAAUUCCAAGAAAAUAUUAGCAUAUUCAUUACAUUUCUGAUCAUUCAUUUACAUAUAAUAAUAAGCUUUGGGGCAUUCGUAGUUGUGCCUUCUGGUGGUUCUCAUUUUGACUGAGGGUCAUUUCUUCUUCAAUCUUCAUCUUCUUCACCUGGCCUUUGGCUCACUUUUCAUGUUGGCAAAACAUUCUAACUGCUUAAUUGUUCAUUAAAACUAAUGAUCUCCCAGCUACCA